CUUGAUAAUCCUAAUAUUUUUUGUGUUCUAACGUAUUUGUCAACUUGAAAUUUUUUGUCGUGGAUUAUUGCUUUGUUCAAAGGUUUAAAAACAAAAAAGCGGUUUGCUGUCGGUUUGCUGACAACGCCUGUCAGCAAACAUUAAAUGGCAUGUUUAAGCCAGUCCAAAUGUUUAGUGGUAACACCCCAUAUUCUCCCGAAAAUUAUAUGGACUUUUUGCAAAAACAUCAAUGACAUAUUAAUCUAUUGUUUUUGAUUCGUGAAGAUAUAUUUCUGUAGGACGGCGAAAAUCCAUAUCGUGAGAAGACGAGGCUAUUACUGAAAGGACGCAAGAAGGAGGUCAGUAUAGCUAUUGGUAUCAUAACGGGACACAUAGGACUACGAGCCCACUUAUGUAAAAUCAGUGCGGCAAGUGAUAGCAUAUAUAGGGCAUGCGGGGAAGAUGAUGAGACGUUGGAGCAUUUCCUUUGUCAUUGCCCGGCUUUCGCGUCCAACAAAUACCGGUACUUAGGUGGAGACACAAUAUCGGACAUGAACCAACUUAGGGGAGUGGCAUUGAAAAAAAUUAAGGAUUUUCAUAUAUUUCUGCUGUUUCUACUUACAAAUUUCCCUGAGUGUGGCUAUGUUGGACAAUCUGAAGUAUCUUUCGCAAUUCUUCCUCUAAGUAGUCUUCCAAAUUUUGCUCAAUUAUCGGACUCGGUGCCGUCCGUGCCAGUGAUGGUCUGAGAAAGUGUUCCAUGGAGAUUCUCGAAAACUGAACCUCAUCGAUUAGAUUUUCAGAAAGCUAUUCUACAUAUUGUUUGUGCCGUGUGAAAAACUACAAUAUAUAUUUUGUUUUACAAUUGUAUUACAUUAAGUGAGAAAUUAAUAGUCAAGAAUGUAUUGAGACUACCUUAAUAGACCACCUGUACAUACUAAA